GACACUUGGCUUCGCCCGCGGCGUGAGAGGGGGGUGCCGAUGGGCGCGGCCCGGGGCGCUGCCAGUGCGGGGGCGCCGGGCUCCCCCCUGCAGCGGAGGGAGGGAGUGGAGCCGUCCAGCCGGGUUUCGCGCGGGAGAAUUGAGGGGGCAGUCCCGGCGCAGCCUCCAGCUGGCACGCCCGGCUACGCGCGCCGGAUAUUUGCAGGGUUUGUUCCAGCUCCUGCCCUGAAGCACAUGCCUCUGCUGCAAUCCGUGUCUCCGCUCCGGGAGAGUAUUUUCGAGCUACUUCGGAGCUCAUUUUGUUUAGUUGUUGUAAAGGGGCGGGGUUCCGCCGCCUCCCCAAAUAUUGCUACAGUGUUCACUUUGCACCACAAGCAACCUGGGUUUCCUUACCGAGGCCCUGGGGUUGGGAAGCUUCAAAUCCCCUCCAACUUUCCAGAGGUUAGAAAUACCGAUUAACAAAUAGUGACUGAACAACUACCAUGCGUCAAGCACUGUGUCAGACCUGGAAACACGAGAUGGAACAAAAAAAGAAAAAAAACAGGUCCCUGCUCUCUUGGGAGCUUGCAGUCAGGGAGCCAGCCACCAGCAAGAUGAUAUAUAAGUGCAAUCAUGAUACAACAGUGAAUGAAGUUGGCCAAACAUUUUCUCAAGCUUGAGGAGAGAACAUCUGGACACUUCCUCCUUUCAUUGGUUCAGCAAAUACAUGUGCUACGUCCUCUCCAUGUUCCAGACUGUGGGGGAAGAAAGAUCAAUAAAACGUAAUAUGAUUUUUUAAAAAA